AGACCCAGAGAGAGAGGCAAGGUCUGAUCCGCAUCCUAAAUGACAGCUGUUGAUCAGUACUUGCCUCUCUCUUUCUCUCCC
rfam:Myotis lucifugus cont2.34333, whole genome shotgun sequence.